UGCAUCCAGUUUUUGAGUAUCCUGCUGGGGCAAAGGAUAUCUUGACUCAACUGUUACAAAUGUCUCAAGGUAAGAGGCCAGCUGCUGACUAUGCUAUAGAGUUCAGGACACUAGCAGCUCAAAGCAGAUGGAACAAUUGUUGAGACUAUUUCACUCAAACGGCUCUUUACCAGGAAGGAUCAACUCAAGCGAAAUAAAACACAUGACAAGUUCUUUGGAUUUUUGCUUGCAAGGACUGCGCUGUUGGUUGCUAGCGGGAGAAAAAACAGGUUUCUCUCUUUUGCCUCCGAAGCUCAGAUCACAAGUUGCUUUAUUUUUAUAGAGGAAAGGACAGGACAAGAUAAGUAAAAGCAAAUGGCAAACAAGUGUUUCAAACACGUUCGUCGUAUAAGUUAUCACUAGCUACAUAUCUUUUCGUGCAUCAGAAUCUUCAUUCCUUCAGUUUCUCUGGCACCUACACCAGUCCAAGAUAUUAUAUGGAGGUCAUGUCAUGACCUAGAACAAGAAGUGCUUUAACAGAUAGAAGCUGAAACUGAAGGGUCAAAGGUGCAUAAUGUCAAGACACAACUCCAACAACGAUGUUGCCCUGAAAGCUAUAUUUUUUUUCAAAAGUUUCAAAAAUAUCUCAGGAACUUCAAACCGAACUGGCCUGCAGAGGAGAGGAAUUCCCUUUUCCGAAUUUGUCACAUUGACCAUCAAGAUCGAUAAUCUCCUGAGGCAAACACUCAAAACUAGAACCACAAAACUUGACCAGUGUCCAACAUCUACCCAUAUCCAAGGCUCAAGAUUAUGAACCCAUGCAGUUAGGGGUUUCAAGACUAUCUAAGGGUGAAAGAGAGAGACGAGUUAACCACCUAUGCUUCUAUUACGGUGCUGCAGGACAUCGAAGCCUCAGAUGCCCACAUAAGAACCCUGCACCCCAGCAAUGAUAGAUUCUGGAGCUGCUUUGAACCUGAUCGACAGCAGCAUCAUAACCAAAUUCAACAUACCCACUAAACUGCAUAAUCCUCCCAGAUGAAUCACGUGCAUCAAUGACAUUUUCAUUGGUAAAGGAAUCACUGAACAGACACAAACCUUAACCCUUCAGGUGGGCCUAUUUCAUAAAGAAUCUAUAUCUCUAUGCCUGGAAACUUCGUGAAUUACUGAAUUGAUCAUGUCUGUCUCCACCAAUGUUUACUUCCCAAACCCCUACCAUGUCUAACUACCAGUAUAAAAAGUCCAGAGACCCAUCAAUCAGUCAACAUCCCCUCCUGUUAGUACAAUUUUCUAGAAGUGUUUAGCAAAGUCAAAGCUACAAAACUUCCCCCUCAUCGACCCGUAGAUUGUGCAAUUGAAUUGCUCCCCAAUGCCAUGCUCGGUAUGCGAUGAAUGGAAGACUGCUUUUCUCACCACUAUGAGUACCAGGUGAUACCGUGUGGGCUAGCCAACUCCCCAGUUGUCUUCCAGUCUUUUAUUAAUGAAAUUUUUAAGGACAUUCUGAACCAGUUUGUUAUUGCGUAUAUGGAUCAUAUCUUGAUUUUCUCCAAAUCCAGAGCAGAACACAUCAACCACGUGAGAACAGUGUUGUCACAAUGUUUCACGUAACUCAAACAUCCUUUCUAGGAUAUUAUAUCAGCCACCAAGGAGUUAAGAUAGAUUAACUCAAGGUAAUGGCAAUAACUGAAUGGCCACAACCUACCACGGUGAAAGAACUCCAACGAUUCUUAGGCUUUGUAAAUUUCUAUUGAUGGUUUAUCCGCACCUACAGUCUACAGCAGCCCCACUUAGAAAACCUACCAAGCUAAGAUGGACUCAAGAAGCUAACUAAGCUUUUACUUCUCUCAAGGAGAGAUUCACAUCAGUUCCCAUUCCUAAAACAUCCUGAUCCCAAAUCACCAUUCCUCAUGGAAGUCGGUGCGUCGGACUGUGGCAUCGGAGCUGUCCUCUCUUAAAGAACCGAACAAUCCGGUAAACUUCAUCCAUGCACUUUCUUUUCCAGAAAACUGACCCCUGUGGAGAGGAACUCCUAUCCAUGAAGGCAGCAAUUAAAGAGUGGCGACACUGGCUCGAAGGUACUAAACACCUGAAUCCCUGCCAAGCCCGAUGGGCACUGUUUUUCACCAGGUUUCAGUUCACCGCCACGUAUCGUCCAAACAGUAAAAAUGGCAAAGCUGAUGCCCUGUCGAGGUGCCAUGAUCGGCAAUCAGAUCCCCUCAACCCAGAACCUAUCCUCCUACCGUCCAUUAUUCUUGCCCUUGUCACCUGGGACAUUAUGGAGGAAUUACAGAGGGCACAACAACAGGAACCACCACCAAUGCCCCCCAAACAAACAGUACGGUUCUUCAAACCUAAGGCAACUCAUAAUGCAAUGUGUCCACACCUCCCUCAAUGCUGGACACCCUGGUAUUUCUCGAACCAUCCAGCUCGUCCAAAACUCCUUUUGGCGGCCCGAGAUGAUACAACACAUCACAUCAUUCGUGAAGUCAUGUUCAGUCUGCGCUCAAUCCAAAUCCCCAAAAGAAUUAUUCUCUGGUCUCUUCCAAACACUAUCCAUCCCAGAAUGACCCUGGUCUCACCUCUCCAUCGACUUGCACCUUUCCAAUAACUACAUCCAAGUCCUGCUGUCUGAUGCCUUUAAAUGGACUACUUACUGCCAUGGAAACAGCCUUAGCCCUCUUCCAUAAUGUUUUCAGAGUUUACGGUUUACCUGAGGAUAUAGACUGUGGUACCCAAUUCAAGUCACAAGUCUGGCGAGCCUUUUGUAAACAGCUAGAUAUUAAUGUCAGCCUCACUUUGGGUUAUCAUCCCCAAUCUAAUGGUCAAGUAGAACACCUAAAUCAAGAGAUUGGCCAAUAUCUGUGAACAUAUUGCAGCUGGGAGCAACACUGACGGUCUAAGUUUCUACCAUGGGCCGAAUAUGCACAGACCUCACUAACCAACUGCUCUAUAGGCCUCACCCCCUUUCAAUGCGUCCUGGGGUUCCAACCCCCCAUGUUCCUGUGGUCAGGAGAACCCUCAUCUGUACCUGCAGUGGAUGAUUGGAUGCGAUGUAGCGAGAGGGUGUGAGAUAGCGUGCAUGUUCGUCUCCAGUGGGCCAUCCGAAACCAGGAAACAACAGGUCGGGCUCUCCACCAGGGACAUCAAGCUGCGGCUACCAAGAAGGAAGCUCAGCCCCAGAUGCUGACCCCAUGAGGCUCCAGAACCACCCCCACCACUGGACAUUGAUGGGGCUCCCGCAUACCAGGUAAAGGAAUUACUAGACUCUAGGCGAAGAGGGGGUCAGCUCCAAUAUCUUGUGGACUGGGAGGGAUACGGACCUAAGGAGAAAUCCUGGGUAGCCGUCCGGGACAUUUUUGACCCUUCACUCACCGAGGAAUUCCACAGAGCUAGACCCGAUCAACGACCACGGGGACCAUCACGUUGAAUUCCAGGAGUCGCUCCUAGAGGGGGAAUUCUGUAAUGCCUAACCAGCAGAGGGAGCCCUCGCCUGAGUACUAGCCAUGCUCAGGCUCCUCUGCUUCUUCUCUGCUCACUUACUGUUUAAGGGCUUUAUAACCAGAAGUCCUCCACGCAUUCAAAUGUGAAGUAUUGCCAGUCUUAUUGUUACAAUCUGAUUGUUACUUUUGUGUAUGACCUUUGCCUGUUUGCCUGAUUUUCGGAUUCUGUUUGCCUGUCGUGUUUGCCUGUUUGGAUUGAUAACCUGUUACCGACUCAUUGCCUUCCUACUGACCCUGUAACUCAGACUCUCCUUGGACCUGUCUGCUGUUUGGACUGGCUGUCUAGUAUUGACCCUUACACUGUCUGUUCAUUGAUGUCUCUUGUCUUGCCCACUAAUAAUCGUCAGAAAAUGGAUUCUACUAUGUCGCCUGUGUUCUCGUUACAAGUACGUUACCAUGCCAGUCCCUCCAAGAGUUCAAAUGACCUUUUUAUGAACCUUUUAUAUGUCAAAUGUAAAGAGGAAUAUUUAGCAUCUUUAUUAAGUCAUUGGUAAUGCACAUAUAUUCUACUGUAGUUUAUUUGUCAUGCCACUGUGUGCAUUUGUGUAACUUGGAAUCAUAAAAUUCAAAAUUCUACAUCAUUCACACAGUGGCUUUUGUGUUUAACAUUACAUGUGAAUGAUUUCAAUUUGCAUCUGCCUCAAGCAAAUUCACACAGCACCCAUCUGAAUAAGUUUCAUUCUGAAUACUGUGUUUGGAAUAAUUAUAGUAAAUGAUUACGGUGAAGAGUUAAUUGUUAAGAGCACUUGCAUUAACCGUUUUUAGUCAAAUUCUCACUGAAAAGUUGGCUUAGGGAGUUCUUCUAGAUUUGGGAGGAUAACUCUUGUACAUUUGCAGCAACUUGAGGGCUGAGAAAAAAACCCAAAAGUUAUUAUUCAUAAUUAUUAAUAGUGUUUUCUAAAUCAGCAUCACAAAGAUGAAGAUUAUCCUUAUUAUCCUUAUUUGAUUCCUAUUGGACACCUUUAGAGAAAAAUGCAUCUUUAAGGAUUACAUAUAGUAAAAUAGUUUCUGUUUGAAACAAAAUUGCAAUGUUUAAACAAAUGUUUAAAACAAAUGCAAGUGAUGCGCUUGCACCUCCAUGUAAAGCAUGGUUUAGCUUACACUCUCCAGACAUGUGCCUAAAAGCGUACAUUUAUUUAGGUUAAAAGUUUAAACUAGCAUUGUGAUUUUUUUAAAUUGUUUUAUAUCUAUAGAUUUUAUUUUAAGAAGGCUACAUUGAAUAAACAUGAUAAACGGUCUGCUUGGUCAUUACUAUACUAUAUAUAACUUUCCAAGCAAAAAAAAGUUUCAAACAUAUUUCUAAAUUACGGUCACCAUCGCCGUCGUGGGAGAAGGAUCCCUCGCUUCAUCGUCUAGCCUUUGAGUCCUGGACUCCACAUCGGCCUGUAGACUCGUCGGCUCCUCCUUGGCUCCUAGCUCCCUCCUCUCCACUGUGGCCCAUCAGUCCACCAGCUCCACCAAGCUCCAUCAUCCCUCCGGCUCCGCCUUGGUUUGUCGUCGACCAUCCGUCACCUCGGGAUUCCUCUCCUCUGGCAUCACCUUGUCCCUUCAUCCCUCUGGCUCUGUCAGGCUCCUCCAUCCCUCCGGCUCCACCUCAAUCCUCUGUCGCUCUGGCUCCGCAACGUCCUUCUCGUCCCCCGUCUCCGCAUAGGUCCUCUAGUGUCUCAGUGUCACCCUGGCCCUUCAGCUCUCCGUCUCUACCUCAGUCUCCUCCACCACCUGCUCCGCCACACCGUCGGUUGGUCCCAUGGAGUCGACAGUCAUUCCUCCUCCAUGGCUCCUCCCUCCGUCUGGAUCUCCUCCUGCUCCGGACUCCUUCUGUCACAC